GUGUUGUUUUUUAAGGGCACACGGUGGAUGCCUUGGCAUUAUGAGCCGAUGAAGGACGUGUAAGGCCGCGAUAGGCCUCGGGGAGUUGCCAAUAGAGCGUUGAUCCGAGGGUGUCCGAAUGGGGAAACCUGGCUGCAGUUAUGUGUGGUUACCCUUCAGUGAAUUCAUAGCUGUUGUGGGGUUUACGCGGGGAAGUGAAACAUCUCAGUACCCGUAGGAGAAGAAAACAAUUGUGAUUCCGUUAGUAGUGGCGAACGAACGUGGAUGAGGCUAAACCAUGUGCGUGUGAUACCUGGCAGGGGUUGCGUGUGUGGUGUUGUGGGGUGUGUGCGUGAAAAGGCUGCCAUCUUUUUGCUGGUUUGUGCAUGUGUUAGCGGAAGUGGUG
rnacentral:rRNA from 1 species